rnacentral:rRNA from 1 species
AAGUCCUACGGGGGGCAGCAGUGGGGGAUAUUGCACAAUAGGGGAAACCCUGAUGCAGCGACGCCGCGUGGGUGAAGAAGCGCCUCGGCGCGCAAAGCCCUGUCAGCAGGGAAGAAAAUGACGGUACCUGAAGAAGAAGCCCCGGCUAACUACGUGCCAGCAGCCGCGGUAAUACGGAGGAUGCGAGCGUUAUCCGGAUUUAUUGGGUUUAAAGGGUGCGUAGGCGGGCUGUUAAGUCAGCGGUCAAAUGUCGGGGCUCAACCCCGGCCUGCCGUUGAAACUGGCGGCCUCGAGUGGGCGAGAAG